rnacentral:lncRNA from 1 species
AGCUAUGAAAGGAGGCCUCGAGCCCCCUUUGAGCAAUCAGCACCUUUCCUGAGCCCUCAAAAACCUCCCCUCGCUCCAAUUCUGCAUGAGCUGCUCUUUGUGCUCCUCUCUGGCCGCAGCGUUGCCGCCGGCCUCUGGGACAAUUCAGGAAGCCCGAGCCUCACCGUUCACCUCUCCAUCCCCUGCUAGCCUCCUCAAGCCUCACCGAACCCAUUCCCAGUGCUGAUUCAUGCCAUAGCCACCGUAGGACGAAGCUGCGUUCGCUGGAGCCCUCGGUGCGCCGUGGUUGAAAGAGCUCUCGGCCACGAGCUCCCCAGCAGCCCGUGUCCCCUCCAGGUGAUACGGUUCUCAUCCCUGAGCACGCAUACGUGCUCAACUCCAGGAGCAGAGCCCCCUAGCAUCGGCAAGCAUCACCGGAGCUCGCCACUGUCCCUGCCAGGCACGCGCGGGGGUGCGGGAUGAAUUCGACAGGUGCCCCCCACCUGUCGGUGAGAGAGAGUUGUCGCCCUGGUAGCGCUAGCCUGUGGGUGCGUCUUCCUCGCAGGUAAGCAUCUUCUCCUGGGUACGUCUUCAGCUCUAGAAGGCAUAUUCCUCCCCGAAUCGUGUCUUCUCUGCUUCUUUUUAAAAACAGAAUCAAACAGAAACUUAAAAUGGCUCUAAUGUUUUACAGAAAACUCCAAAUGGACUAAUUCUUUUUCCUACCUCUUUCAAAUUGCCUCUAGUCUAAUUACAUAUUUAUUUCAAAAAUAUUCAAACCACUUUUUGUGAUGUUUGGUGUUUGUGUGUUAAUUCAAAUACUUUCAAAAUAGGACUUGGAGAGAGGAGGCUUAUUCUAGGAUUUUGGGGUGCACCUCACCCUCCUCAAACUCCAAAGGCAAGCAUCUUGAACUCUGAUUUGCAUAAAGUUGGGUGAUGUUUAUGGUGGAGCAUCUAUUGCGUGAUUUUAGGUUAUGUUGAUAAAAAUCUCGCAUGAAAUCAUACCUUGCAUAAGAGCACGUGAUGGAUAUUUUUGUUGCUAAGUUUGUGGAAGGCAAGUGGUGAGUGGUUAUUGCCUCAUUCUUGGUAUGCUAUGUUGGUUUAGACAACCUCGGAUAAGGUGUGUCUGGUGGAAAUGAGACCAUGGGCUGACAUCUCGUGGGACGAGAGUGGUUAGUGAAAGCAUGUUGGGGUGUGAUGUUAGUAACCCUGAGAUAAUUCCUUCACCAAGAUUGUGUGGUACUAACCCUUGUAGGAAAAUAUUAAACCUCCUAAGUCGACCGUAGAUCGUGUCUUGUCCGUGUGUCACCAUACCUUUUCGUGCUGUCGUAGGUCUUUCUAAAAGGGAAUACGGCCUAGUAGGUCGUAAAUCUAUUACGAGGUACCCACCAAGUAGAGAGGCCGGGAUGAAGGAAUCCAUGGCCCUGGACUAAAUCCAGUCAUCCGGUCAGGGGCAUGGGUGUUUCCGGUCUGGGACCGAGAGGGAACGGUCGUUCCCUUGUAGCUCGCGGUAUAAAUUUGAUCCCAUGCUAGUCGAGGUUGGAGCCUCCCCGUCUUAUGGUCUUUCUCUGGCAGCGUAGUCCGAGUGAUGUCGGUCUUCGUGGGAGAAAAAUGGGUGUGUGAUGGUUCUGAGAGUUUACUUCUGAGAUACCAUACGUGGGAUUAGUCUGAGUGUCUUUUGGAACCAAUGGGUUGUGGGUAAAGAGUACACCCUCUACAGAGUCAAAAAUAUUCGAGUAGCCGUGUCCAUGGUCAAGGACGACUGGUUGACUAGUCAAGUGUCGGUGUGAGUGUGAGUCUCAAAGGAAGUUAAAGAAAUCAUGAGACUAAUCAUGAAAUGUGGUAGAUGAUCAUACUAUUCUUUUUACUGUGGACUAGCCCCUAUGACUAUGAUUGUUGGAUAUCCUUGGGACAGUUCUACCCCCUGGAUAUUCAAUAUUUAUUAUUCUUUGUAUGCUAUGAUGGUCUAGACAACCUCGGAGUAAGGUGUGUCUGGUGGAAAUGAGACCAUGGGCUGACAUCUCAUGGGACGAGAGUUGUUAGUGAAAGCAUGUUGGGGUGUGAUGUUAGUAAGCUGAGAUAAUUCCUUCAGUAAGAUUGUGUGGUACUAACCCUUGCAAUAAAAUAUUGAACCUCCUAAAUCGACCAUAGAUCGAGUCUUGUCUGUGUGUCACCUUACCUUUUCGUGAUGUCGCAUGUCUUUUCGAAAGGGAAUACGGUCUAGUAGGUCGUAAAUCUAUUACCAGGUACACACCAGGUAGAGAGGCUGGGAUGAAUGUAUCCAUGGUCCUAGACUAAAUCCAGUUAUCCGGUCGGGGGGCAUGAGUGUUUCCGGUCUGGGGCCGAGAGGGAACAGAUGUUCCCUUGUAGCACGUUGUAUAAAUUUGAUCCCAUGCUAGUCGAGGUUGGAGCCUCCCCGUCUUAUUGUCUUUCUCAGGCAGCGUAGUCCGAGUGAUACCGGUCUUCGCGGGAGAAAAAUGGGUGUGUACUGGUUCUGAGAGUUUACUUCUGAGAUACCGUAUGUGGCAUAAGUCCGAGUGACUAUUGGAACCCGUGGGCUGUGGAUAAAGAGUUCACCCUCCGCAGAGUCAAAACUAUUCGAGUAGCCGUGUCCAUGGUCAAGGACGACUGGUUGUCUAGUCAUGUGUCGGUAUGAGUGUCGGUCUCGGGGGAAGUUAAAGAAAUCAUGAGACUAAUCAUGAAAUGUGGCAGAUGAUCAUACAAUUAUUUUAUUGUGGACUAACCCCUAUGACUAUGAUUGUUGGAUAUCCUUGGGACAGUUCUACCUCCUGAAUAUUCAAUAUUUAUUGUUGUUUCUUAUUAAGCCCUUUAUGUGGUGUCGCGUAGACGCCUGACUCAGGCAUGCUUAUUUUUUUUUCUUAUAAGCCCUUUCUGUGGUGUCACGUAGAUGCCCAGUUGUGGCAACCGUUAUUACUUGCAUCUGAGCGCUUUAGGCGGUGUCGCUCCAACGCCCGACUGCGGCACGCAUCUUAUUACUUAUUUGUUAUUAUCUUUCUUGCUUGUUUAUACAACAUUGGUGGAAAAUUGCUUAUUUGCAUGUAUGCAUCCAUGAAUUAAAUUCUAAUGGCAUGGUAGAAUUGUUAGUGGAUUAUGCAUGCAUCUCACUUGCUUUAACUUCUUUGUUUUCUUGAUGUUUGCGAGUACAUUCAGAGUACUCACUGGCUUGUCCCUGGCUAUUGUCUUGGCUAGAUUGCAUUCUGAGACGAGCACGAUGCCGUCGACCCCGGAACCUAGGAGUCCAGGAUAGCAGCCUUGUGAGAUAGGAAUUUAUCAAGGUUAGUUGUUCUUGUGGAAUGGAGUCCCAUGGAUUCUGGAGAUUCCUCGAGUCGCUUCCACCGUCAACCUCAGACAUUUGUCCAAACCAGUAGGCCUUUAUUGUUUUGUAACUCAGGUUUUGUAUUUUGCCUCGAUAUUCUGUAUCAAGUAAGUGUCUACCAGCUAACAAUAAUCCUAGGCUAGUAAACACAAAGACUUGUUUUCUAGAAAUUAUUUUCUGAAAAACCAGUCGCUACAACCUUUAGCCUCCCCCAAAUUUCUUUCCACCCAAUCAAUCUCUUAUACCCAUGCCACAUCUUUGAGAGAGUGAUUGAGUGUUGAGGAGACUAUCUUCUGAAGCACAAGAGAAAGGAAUUCAUCGUACUAUCUCGUCUAUUACCUUUUGGAGGGUGGUGCCUCCUAGAUUGGGUAGGUGUCGCUUGGGAGCCUCCUACUUCGUGUUGUGGAGUUGAACCAAGAAGUUUGUAAGGGCAAGGAGAUCGCCUACUUCAUGAAGAUCUGCCCCGAGUGAGGCUAGUCCUUCAUGUACGUAAGACAUGGUGGAAUAGACAAGGUUUCUUCUUCGUGGACCCUUUGUGGGUGGAUACCUCCGUGGACUCGUGCAACUGUUACCCUUCGCGGGUUGAAGUCUCCACUAACAUGGACAUACGAUAGCACCACCUAUCAGAACCACGCCAAAAAUUGUCGUGUCAACCACUACUAGGGAAAACCCUAGUAGUAGCGCUAGAAAUAUGCAUAGCAGUAGCGCUGGGCCAAGCGCUACUGCUAUCGCGCUACAUCUAAAGACUAGUAGCAGCGCUGGUAUGGGCAGCGCUACUGGUAACUAUAGUAGUAGAGCUUGUUCAUAUGGCGCGUUGCUGCUAAGCCGCGCUACUGGUAAGUAUUGCGAGCGCUACUGCUAACUUUUACUGCUUUCACAGAUUUGCACCCUCUAUACUGCGAUCAUAUUCUCACACAUUGUAAGACUUUGACUAUUAAGACUUGCUCGCUUCUCUAUACUGGGAUCAUAUUCUCACACGUCAUAUUCUACCUAGUACUUCUCUACUGUGAUCCUUCACAAUUUUGCUCCAGUCUUUGACUAUUAAGACUUGCUUGCUUGGAGAAAUGAUGAAUGCACUCGUGUGCAAUAAAGGAUAUCUUGGCCGUAAACUAACCAUUAUCACGCGACCUUUAGUCUCGAUCCAACGAGCAACAACACUCAUCGGGAGUCCAUGUUCAAUACAAGAUGUAACAUACUUAGCAAUGAAGUUUAGCUUAAAAACUAAUGUAUGCAAAAGAUGCACUGAGGACAAAUAGUAAAAAUCACUAUUACUCAAUAAAUAUGGUUGAGGAACUCACAUAUAUAUGAGGAACUUAUAUGACAGAUCAAUAUUACUCAAUAUGCAACGACAACAUGGUGGACAGUCCCUCACCGAUUUUUCGACCGUCGAUGAUGGGCGCUACUCCUACUUCCCCUAGUGCAUAACAAAUAUCUAGCACAAGGAGAAGGAGGAGAAGCGACCCCCACGACAACAGUCGACAUUCUUAUUCUCUCAUAUAUGGUGGACACUCCCUCACCGAUUUUUCGACCGUCGAUGAUGGUUGCUACUCCUACUUCCCCUAGUGCAUAACAAAUAUCUAGCACAAGGAGAAGGAAGAUAAGUGACCCCCACGACAACUAUCGGCAUUCUUCUUCUCUCAUAUAUGGUGGACACUCCCUCACCGGUUUUUCAACCGUCGAUGAUGGUCACUACUCCAACUUCCCCUAGUGCAUAACAAAUAUCUAGCAGAAGGAGAAGGAAGAGAAGCGACCCCCACCACAACAGUCGGCAGUCUUCUUCUCUCAUAUAUGGUGGACACUCCCUCACCAAUUUUUCGACCGUCUGUGAUGUUCGCUACUCCUACUUCCCCUAGUGCAUAACAAAUAUCUAGCACAAGGAGAAGGAAGAGAAGUGCCCCCCACGACAACAGUCAGCAUUCUUCUUCUCUCAUAUAUGGUGGACACUCCCUCACCGAUUAAACUAUUUCUAUUAAACACUUACUAAAUAAACUAUUUCUAUUAAAAACUUACUAAAAACAGUAAAAAAACUACAUUAUACAAUGACAAUAAAAAACUACAUUAUACAGUAACAAUAAAAAAACUACGUUAUAUAAUAACAGUAACAGUAAAAAAAUACAUUAUACAAUAACAGUAAAAAACUAUUUCUUCUCUCAUAUAUGNUAGACUUAGUAGUAGCGCUGGUUUCAGGCCAGCGCUACUGCUAUUAGACUUAGUAGUAGCGCUUUACACAAGCACGCGCUGCUACUAAUGCUACCGUCAGUGGCCUCGUUGGGCCUCCUUUAGCAGUAGCGCUGGA